GCGAAAAGAAAUAGAGUCUGCGUAUCCCGAAUCGAAAGCGUGGAAACCAGCUACUCGUAAUGAUCUUCUUGGAGCUGUUAAACUGCAUCGUUCAACAAGUACUUUGAGACACGCUUGACACUCUAUUCCCACUGCCUGCGAAAAUAACACGCUAAAUAGCGCUUACGGUUCUCCAUUCGGUAAUAUUUUGAACCAAAAACACUGAUUACAAAUGGUUUCAUAUUCUGAUGCUGUUUUAGUUAUUGAAUCAUGCGUACAACUCAAAAAUUUGUUUUGGUAUAUGAUUGCAUUACGUAUUGGCUUUACUGCAUAAAUUUGUUUUGAUUCCAUAUGUUUCAUGACAAAAUAUGUUUCGGAAUAAAUGUUGGAUUUAUGUCGACAUUGCAGUAAUCUUGUAAAUAAUUAUAAGUUGUUCUUAUUUUGGCACAUUAUUAUGUUAGUAUGCUUGCUGCUAAAAUUUGAUUUUAUGGAUGAUUCAUAUAAGGCUUCGGUUAUAUUACGUACUGUUUUGGCAUUGCUGCUGUUAUAGUUUUUUAUUAUUCUCCCUAAAAUCCUUUCUCGUCAAAUAUUUGAGUACGUUGUUGUAGGUUUUUGGUGUAAGAACAUCUUUGAGCAUCCUGUAUAUGGGGCAUUAGGGAAUUGUGUGGACAUUGUUAGCUGGUAUUCUCGGUUUAAGUGUGAUACUUUGGUGCAUAUUGAGUUGAUGAGUAUUAAUCAUGUUGGAUGGAUAUUUCCUAAAAAUUAUGUUCUAUAAUUUCCAAAUUUUCUGAUAUGGAUAAGCUUUUAAAUUAUUAAAGUAUUGCACAUUGUUAAUUAAGAUCUUAAUUUUAUUGCAAAUAAGUAUAGUUAUUGUUACUUGUUAAAACUCAAUUUUAUGUUUUGUUCCAAAAAGUAAAUUGGUUUGAUGCAAUAGUUAUUCAAAAGCUCUUUUGUUUUUGACCUUGAUGUGUAAAUAGUGUAAAUAAAUAAAUAUAAUAUUGGUUUUUUAUUCUCAUUAUGAUAAAGUCAGAUUAAA
rnacentral:lncRNA from 1 species